rnacentral:rRNA from 1 species
CUUUCUUUGCUGGCGACCGGCGCACGGGUGAGUAACACGUAUCCAACCUGCCCUUUACUCGGGGAUAGCCUUUCGAAAGAAAGAUUAAUACCCGAUAGCAUAAUGAUUCCGCAUGGUUUCAUUAUUAAAGGAUUCCGGUAAAGGAUGGGGAUGCGUUCCAUUAGGUUGUUGGUGAGGUAACGGCUCACCAAGCCUCCGAUGGAUAGGGGUUCUGAGAGGAAGGUCCCCCACAUUGGAACUGAGACACGGUCCAA